rnacentral:lncRNA from 1 species
UAUAGAGAAAAACUAAUCCAAAAUAGAGCACGAAGAACUGACUGUCCCAAAUCCAAACGCAAUACCCAACGUUGACUGGUCUCAAAACUGAUUUCUGAUGAACAAAAAGGGGUAAGGUUACUGUUGUUCACCUGAGGGUCGUGAAUUGAUCCAGACAAGUUCCAAACCAACAAGAAUAAACUCAAUUCGACCUCCUAAAUCGAUAAUUUCGAACAGAACUACGAACACAAAACUCCAAUACACGACAGAGCCAAAGGACAGUGUACCCGAGCUUCGGUGAGCUCAGGUGGCGGCAAAGAAGAUGAAUCGAGGAAGAUUCCGAUUACUUUUGACGUUUACCAACGUGGUUUGCCUGGAAAUAUAAAAAAAGAAACAACGAGAGAGAAAAAAUGGAAAUUUUGGAAUUGGAACUAGUGAACGACGAACCUAACUGAUUCUGGCAAAACUUAGCCGGAAAAUCUCGAAGAAACUGACCGGAACUCCCUCGAAGCUCUCUUUAUUUUUCAGUUUACUUACCUUAUACGCAUGUGAUUUCGUGCAUAGAUCUGCGAGAGAGAUAUGUGAGCUGUUGGAAUGGUGAGGAAGUUGUCCGUUAAUGGUGAGGUUAAUGGUGUAUUGUGUAGAAGAGAAAUAUGGAGAUGAUGAUGUGGUUUUGUAUAUUUUUGUUCUAUAUGAGGUGUGAAUCUGUGUAUGUAUAUCUUGUUGUGGGUAUAUAUAUAAUGAAAAAAAGAAUCCCCCCCUUCUAUUCUAGGUGUGUAUGGAAUAUAUGUAUAUUGUGAAGGUGAUGUGUAAAUGAUGGUCAAGAAGAUAUCACAUGGGCUCCUCUAUUUUUGUUGUUUUCUUCUCCAAGGGAUAAAAAAUGUGAGUGGGUAGGGAGGUGGAAGCUUUUGAUUGGGUAGGUUGUUAGGAUAAGAUAAAUUAGUUAGAGGUAUUGUUUUUU